rnacentral:rRNA from 1 species
UACGUAGGGGGCUAGCGUUGUCCGGAAUCAUUGGGCGUAAAGGGCGCGUAGGUGGCGGGACAAGCGUGCGGUGAAAGCUCGGGGCUCAACCCCGAGUCGGCCGUGCGAACUGUCUUGCUUGAGCACUGUAGAGGCAGGCGGAAUUCCGGGUGUAGCGGUGGAAUGCGUAGAGAUCCGGAAGAACACCGGUGGCGAAGGCGGCCUGCUGGGCAGUUGCUGACACUGAGGCGCGACAGCGUGGGGAGCAAACAGG